rnacentral:misc_RNA from 1 species
UUAAUUGGAUUGGGCCUUGGUAUGGAAACCCGCUGAGUGAGAACUUUCAAAUUCAGAGAAACCCUGGAAUUAAUAAAAAGGGGCAAUCCUGAGCCAAAUCCUGUUUUCCGAAAACAAAGGUUCAUAAAGUGAAAAGGGGAUAGGUGCAGAGACUCAAUGGAAGCUGUUCUAACAAAUGGAGUUGGCUGCGGUAGUAGAGAAGUCUUUCCAUCAAAAAUUCAAUAAGUAUCAAUAAGUAUAAAGUAUUAAGGAUGAAGUGAAGGAUAAACGUAUAUACAUACGUAGUGAAUAGUAUAUUAUAUAUUAAAUGAGUAAUGACUAAUGACAGCCCGAAUGAAUCUAUGUUUUUUCUAUGAAAAAACAAAGAAUUGAUGUGAAUAGAUUCCACGUUGAAGAAAAAAUCUAACAUUCAUUAAUCAAACGAUUCACUCCAUAGUCUGAUAGAUCUUUUCAAGAAUUGAUUAAUCGGACGAGAAUAAAGAUAGAGUCCCAUUCUACAUGUCAAUGCUGGCAAAAAUGAAAUUUAUAGUUAAGAGGAAAAUCCGUCGAUUUUAAANNUCGUGANGGUNNNNNNNNNNCCAACCCCAAAUAGANUAUUUACCUCCCCAACUAUUUACCUAUCCCUCUUUUUGUUAUCGGUUUAAAAUUCCUUAUCUAUUCACGCUAUUUUCUUAGAAUUGAUCGGGGAGGAAAUGCCCUUUUCUUAUCACAGCUAUAUGAUAUACAUAGAAAUGAACAUCUUUGAGCACGAAAUCCCCAUUUGAAUGAUUUACAAUUUAUAUAAUUUAAAAUUACUCAUACUGAAACUCCCAAAGUACUCUUUUUUAAGAUUAAUAUCCAAGCCAAGCAAUUUCAGUACCUAACUAAAACUUGGGAAUUCCCUUUCCUUCUUUUAAUUGACACAGCCCCCAUUUUCGAGUAAAAUGAGGAUGCUACAUUGGUCUGGUCGGGAUAGCUCAGCUGGUAGAGCAGAGGACUGAAAAUCCUCGUGUC